UAGGAAACCACGCUUUCGUGUUAGUUUCUUAAAAUAUUUGAACAUGAUUUUCUAACUAUUUUUAGCGACAAGCCACUUAAUUGAAAAAUGAAUCACAAGAGAACACGCAUUAAAAAGCAAUUGGCCUGGAAUGGCAUCUACCCCAGAUUGCUCCAUGGAUAAAUAGUUAAAAUUCUAGUCGUAAUCAUAUAUUUCUAGUUUAUUUUCAAUCUUUUAACAAUUAACAACUUUGAUAAAAAGGCACGUCUGAUGGGUAUAUUGAUUUUAUGUGCUAGCUUGUAUGAAUAGCAAAAUCCAAGGCCUGAGUCAUCGGACUCUUGCUUUAUAGUUUUGAUCGCCGCCUAGCUCGCUUUAUGGUUUUAUAAAAGGGCACGUCUGAUUUUAUGUUUGCCUUCUUUGCUCGUAAUCACCCUCAAACUUACUCUCCGUCUCAAGCUUUAGGGUUUUGAUCGCCGCCUCCACUGUGCCUCCCACGCCGUUUUUUUUUUUUUUUUAUAUAAACAUAUUAUUCAUCUCUGCUAAAUCAAAACUUAGAGAAUUGUUGUCGUGAUGGGAAUCUAUAAAGAAGAUAUAGAGAGAUGCCAGGUAGCGCAGGUGGAAUCAGAGAAAAGACUGAAGGCAUGCAUAGCUUGUUUGUUGUCAUUGGCGAUAAGCACGACAGGGGGAUUUAUGUUAGGGUUUUGGGAGUAUGAAUAUCAUCCAACAAAUAGUCAGCUAUGGAUGGUGCCCUUCGCCCUUAUUCUCUUAGUUACUCCCGCCAUUAUCUGGUUUGCUAUUAUCGUUUCUGAGAUCUGCAACUCUAAGAACGAAGAACGCCACGUGCCUGCAUUAGGUGGCUCAGUUCAUGACUCGGAGAGACCAUGAGUCACCGUGUCGAGUUAUCGCAUCUGUAAGCCUUCUUUUAAAAUCCUCUGUUACAAUGUCCAAUCACUCCCUCGAUUUAAUUUGAGAUGUAAUUGAUAAAUUACCAAAUUAAAACGAUUGGAUAAUCCCACUGCAACAGUUUUUGUUA